UACGUAGGGGGCGAGCGUUAUCCAGAUUUACUGGGCGUAAAGCGCGUGUAGGCGGCUGGUUAGGUGUGAUGUGAAAUCCUCGGGCUCAACCCGAGAACUGCAUUGCAAACCGGCCUGGCUAGAGUGCAGGAGAGGGAAGCGGAAUUCCAGGUGUAGCGGUGAAAUGCGUAGAUAUCUGGAGGAACACCUGUGGCGAAAGCGGCGCACUGGACCACAACUGACGCUGAGGCGCGAAAGCUAGGGGAGCAAACAGG
rnacentral:rRNA from 1 species